rnacentral:rRNA from 1 species
GACAUAGGUGCCGAGCGUUAGGCGGAAUCACUGGGCUUAAAGCGUGUGUAGGCGGCCACGUAAGUCGGAUGUGAAAGCCCCAGGCUCAACCUGGGAAGUGCACUCGAUAGUGCGUGGCUUGAGUAUCGGAGAGGUUGGUGGAAUUCUCGGUGUAGAGGUGAAAUUCGUAGAUAUCGAGAGGAACACCGGUGGCGAAGGCGGCCAACUGGACGAAUACUGACGCUGAGACACGAAAGCGUGGGGAGCAAACAGG